UGCCAAUUAAUGGGGCCUGCGCUACUUCGCCUUCCCUGCCCGUCCUCCCCCGUCUGCCAUUCCGUUGCUUCUUCAGUUUUUCCUCUCCCCAUUCAUCUUCCAUUAAUUCUGUAACUGAAGCUCCCAUGAAUUAAUUAAGGACCGCCCCUCUUCCUGGUGGUUUACUAAUCUCCCCACUUCCCUCCUCUUCACUCGCUGCCUUUAAUCUUCAGCUAGAAGGAAGUGAACAGUCCGCUUCCGAAGUCACACCGAUAGAGAUCGAGAGGAUCUCUCCUGCCUCUACUCCGGCGGCGCCCGGGUCACCUUCCAGCGGCCCACCUAUCGCGUCCGCACCUGGGACACGCUGGACACCGUGGCCCGCUACGUCUUCACGGGGCUCAUCACGUAUCGGGACACCGCCACCGCCAAAAACAUCUCCGACCCCAACUAGGUCGCCGUCGGGCAGGAGCUCUGGAUCCCCUUGGCCUGCAGCUGCGACCCUGUCGACGGCGUGCCCGUAGUGCAUUACGCCUACGUCCGGCCGGGAGCUCUGUGGCUGGCAUCGUGCAGGAGUAUGGCACCACGGAGGCGGCGAUUCUGGCCUUGAGCCGCUUGGCCAACGACAAGAGCCUUCUCGCCUAACAGGCACUUGAGAUUAUGCCCACAUGAAGUCUCGAUCACUAGAUUUUGCAGAAGUGCAGAAGAAUGAGGAUGAUUGAUACUGUUCAGGUGCAAAUAAAGGACUUGGAGACUAUUAUCUUCUCUAUAUAUGUAUGCAGGUGAUUCUAUCGCAAGAUUUGUGACUUUGUUUUUCUCUCUCUCAACAUCUUUCCAGUCUUCUACUAUUUCUCCAAGGAUUUCUUUCAUUAAUUGGACUUCUCUGUGUACCAUGCGUAUGUGGCCAUUUUACACCUUGCGGGUGAUUUGUUUGCAGUGGCAGUUUAUAAUGAGCGGCACAACUUUAUUGUAUAGGUUUUCAAUUCUAGAUCCCUUUCUAAUUGUCCCCGAUCACAUGCUUUAUUCUCUGACUAUCUGUUUUUUUAUUUCAGUUGUUAAAUCAACAUGAAUUUGACACACUGCACGUUGUUCUUACCAGGUAUUACCCAACCGACCACAUCUUAAUUGGUUAGUUUAUGCCUACCUGGUCACAAACUCACAAUGGAACUGAUUUAUCUCUUUAUUGAGAUCUCAAGAGUAGCAUCUAACAAUAAAUAGUUUUUUUUUUAAGAGUGAGUCCCUCUGGUCUCCACAUCCUUUAUAUUAUUAAGUCUCAAACAUCGUGCAAAUUUCAGAGAUUAUAACUCAAAAUGAUAACAAGUUAGGAAAAAUCACGCUCCUCCUAGCCAUAUUUAGGAGUUGUUUACAUAUUUAGGAGUUGUUUAUAUAUGCAUUGAUGUUAUGCUAUAAACGGACAUGUGUAAUUUCAGUUCCAACAUAAGCAUUUUUAAGUUUCAAGUUUUUUUUAAUGAGGUUGAAUUGUGCCAAAAUAAGUUUGAAUAGUAUACAUUUGGAUAUGACUGUACUAUGCAAGCCACAUCUUAAUAAUAGUGCGAUCUAACCUCAUAGAUGACCAUUUCUGUGAAUUAUUCAGCGCUCGGUUCCCCGUCACCGAAUCUAUAAGGUACAUGAAUACAUGCCUUAUUUCAAGAGAAUCUUGACGUUUGUUCUACUCCCAGAAUUGUUGCCGCAUAUUCCCGCAGCAACACGCGGGGUAUCAACUAGUUAAUUUGAGAAGCAGAGUCGUCUUAAAAAAGCGACAUGAGGGUUAGAUGACAAGACAAUUUUACUUUGUAUGCAUUGGUUUGAUGUUUUAUGAAAUAUUACAGUAAUAUGUAUAUGCAUGCUCUAGAAACCUAAAAGUUAAAGACAUUUUCCCGCGCAUGCAAAAAAGUAAAAUUCGGCCACAAUAGGUCUGUUAGUUGUUUGUAAGAACCGACAUGUGUCGUACCUGUUUGCAUAGAUACUGGAGUAAUAAACCCGAAUAAAGUUCAAAUCACAAGCAUGUUGCAUGGGUCAUUUUAAAUGCAAAAUUAAUUAACCCAAUUAGUCUAAGAAAGGUUUGACCAAUCACACUACACCUAGAAGUACAUAAGCAUGUUUUGAACAUGAAACGAUAUUUUAUUUCUAUAAGAUUUUAGUACACGAAGAACGUGAGCUAGUUGGUCGACGGUUCACAUUUGUAUUAGACUCAUUGAUUGCUCAAGGUGAUAUAAAUAUGUGUCUAAAAUUGAAUUUAGAUCACCUAUAAGCCGUUGGUCUUUACCGGAGCCGCUUGAUCAUACCUGAUAUAUAUCAGGUCCGUAUACAAAACUAGAGUUCACGUGGUGAUAUGUUCAGUUUGUUGUUUGCACUGGUAGCUCGUGGGCAAGUUAUUUCUAGGUAGAAUUUACGUGGUAUUGAAUUAUAAUAUGAGAUCAAACUUUUGUGUGAUUAUUCUAUCAGUACUCGAACUAAAAUUCAGAUCUAGAGCUAGCUAGAGGUAUUUUUACUCUAUAUAUAGAUUAUCAAAUGUCAUUCAUUUAAACCUACAAUCGAGCCUUGAAAUUUCUCAAAGGCCCCUAGUUGCCUCGUGAGAAGUAUGUCUAGAACUUCCGUGAAAUCCGGCCCACUGAAACGUCACUUUCCCGGAUGGCACGCCCGCCGCUGCGCCAUCACACCGUGCGCCGUUGGCACUGUGCGGUGGCGUUCUCCAUUCUGGAGCGCCGAACACGUACCAUGGAUUUCAAUUUAAUAAAUCGGCGUCUAGAGCUCGGACGCUAUCAUGGUGUUUGCUCAGCUGUCAGUGCAGGUCGUGGCUGUUGGACUCUAGGUACGUUCGGAGAUGGAGAUCAAUACACGCCGCGUGCAAAAUUACCAGUGCAACUGCUUUGGGUGAAACGAGAAUCCUACGAUCUUAUCCACGCAGUCUGUCCUUUUUUACCUCACCGUCGAUCAGGUCGGCGAUGCCACCUACCCUGUUCGGGGCGGGAAAUGUGCACACUGGAAUAAACUUUGCAAGGAGAAAAGAAAAGGAAAGAAGAGAAAAGAAAAGGAGAGGAAUAUGGACAAACACUGAGUUUAUCUUGAAGUGAGACGCUGUCCGAUGGGGACACAUUAGGCAUGAGUGGGGCCGUGCUACCUUGGCCUCUGGGCUCUGGGGAUGGGAGGAGGGGAGGGUGAAAAGCAAUACCGGACGUCCCCGGACCCAUUCGGAUCGGAACGGUGCUUUAUAUCUCGUGGGCGAAUCAGGCAUCUUCAGCUGCACGCAUCCCGAUCAGAUAGACAGAGAUCAGUGAUCAAGCAGUGAGGCAUCGUUUUCGUACCAUAAAACUUUUUUUUCUUUUUGCGAGGCGGACCAUUAGACUUUUGUUUACAAGUAUGGGGAGACAAAAGCAAAUCAACCUUUCACUUGAUUUUCUCUCCUUUUCUUUUCUAGGCGCUGUCCACGGGAGUCGACAUGCGGCGAGAGGCCACGAGCACACGCAGAAGGAGAUGCCACGUACCGAGCUGACAUACAGCCCCAGACGACGCACUCCGUGUGACUGUCCUUGAUGUUUCAUACCUACUCCACUACUACUACUUGGGACUGCAUGUGCGGGCACAGACAGAGUUGCGCACAGACACGGGCGACAUGAAACGGAAAGAUCAAACAACAAGAAUACCAGCAGUUCUUUCGUGUAAUGUGGGAGGUUUGCUCUUCUCUAAACCAAAAUGUUGUCGUUGGCGGAAGCGGAACAGGACAGAGCUAAACAACCGUCCUCAUUUCUUGCGGUCCAGUGUAUUAUAUACUAAAAGCAAUACGAAGGGUACCGAGAGAAGUCUUCACGUUGA